GACAGAGGGGGCAAGCGUUGCUCGGAAUCACUGGGCGUAAAGGGCGCGUAGGCGGGAUGGCAAGUCGGUCGUGAAAUCCUUCGGCUCAACCGAAGAACGUCGGCCGAUACUGCCGUUCUUGAGGGAUGCAGAGGAGAUUGGAAUUCCCGGUGUAGCGGUGAAAUGCGUAGAUAUCUGGAGGAACACCGGUGGCGAAGGCGGCGUUCUGGACUGCAACUGACACUGAGGAACGAAAGCCAGGGGAGCAAACGGG
rnacentral:rRNA from 1 species